CGAGGGGCAUCACGAGGUAGCAAUACUUUGGUGGCGACCGGCGUACGGGUGCGUAACACGUAUGCAACCUUCCUGUAAGUGUGGGAUAGCCUCCUGAAAGGGAGAUUAAUACCUCAUGAUAUGUAUUUGCUGCAUGGCAUUUACAUUAAACAUUUAUGGCUUACAGAUGGGCAUGCGUUCCAUUAGGCAGUUGGUGUGGUAACGGCUCACCAAACCUACGAUGGAUAGGGGUUCUGAGAGGAAGGUCCCCCACACUGGAACUGAGACACGGUCCAGACUCCUACGGGAGGCAGCAGUGAGGAAUAUUGGUCAAUGGGCGCGAGCCUGAACCAGCCACGUCGCGUGAAGGAUGACGGCCUUAUGGGUUGUAAACUUCUUUUACAGGGGAAUAAAGUGAGUCACGUGUGAUUUUUUGCAUGUACCCUGUGAAUAAGCAUCGGCUAACUCCGUGCCAGCAGCCGCGGUAAUACGGAGGAUGCGAGCGUUAUCCGGAUUUAUUGGGUUUAAAGGGUGCGUAGGCGGGAUAUUAAGUCAGCGGUGAAAGUUUUCGGCUCAACCUUAAAAUUGCCGUUGAAACUGUUAUUCUUGAGUGCAGUAGAGGUAGGCGGAAUUCGUUGUGUAGCGGUGAAAUGCGUAGAUAUAACGAGGAACUCCGAUUGCGUAGGCAGCUUACUAUAUUGCUACUGACGCUGAGGCACGAAAGUGUGGGUAUCAAACAGGAUUAGAUACCCUGGUAGUCCACACAGUAAACGAUGAAUACUAGCUGUUUGCGAUAUAUUGUAAGCGGCCGAGCGAAAGCAUUAAGUAUUCCACCUGGGGAGUACGUCGGCAACGAUGAAACUCAAAGGAAUUGACGGGGGCCCGCACAAGCGGAGGAACAUGUGGUUUAAUUCGAUGAUACGCGAGGAACCUUACCCGGGCUUGAAAUGCAGAUGAUCGAAGUGGAGACACUUUUUCCAGCGAUGGCGUCUGUGUAGGUGCUGCAUGGUUGUCGUCAGCUCGUGCCGUGAGGUGUCGGCUUAAGUGCCAUAACGAGCGCAACCCUCAUUACUAGUUACCAUCAGGUCUAGCUGGGGACUCUAGUGAGACUGCCGGCGUAAGCUGUGAGGAAGGUGGGGAUGACGUCAAAUCAGCACGGCCCUUAUGUCCGGGGCGACACACGU
rnacentral:rRNA from 1 species